rnacentral:rRNA from 2 species
AGAGUUUGAUCAUGGCUCAGAUUGAACGCUGGCGGCAGGCCUAACACAUGCAAGUCGAACGGUAACAGGAAGCAGCUUGCUGCUUUGCUGACGAGUGGCGGACGGGUGAGUAAUGUCUGGGAAACUGCCCGAUGGAGGGGGAUAACUACUGGAAACGGUAGCUAAUACCGCAUAACGUCGCAAGACCAAAGAGGGGGACCUUAGGGCCUCUUGCCAUCGGAUGUGCCCAGAUGGGAUUAGCUAGUAGGUGGGGUAAAGGCUCACCUAGGCGACGAUCCCUAGCUGGUCUGAGAGGAUGACCAGCCACACUGGAACUGAGACACGGUCCAGACUCCUACGGGAGGCAGCAGUGGGGAAUAUUGCACAAUGGGCGCAAGCCUGAUGCAGCCAUGCCGCGUGUAUGAAGAAGGCCUUCGGGUUGUAAAGUACUUUCAGCGGGGAGGAAGGGAGUAAAGUUAAUACCUUUGCUCAUUGACGUUACCCGCAGAAGAAGCACCGGCUAACUCCGUGCCAGCAGCCGCGGUAAUACGGAGGGUGCAAGCGUUAAUCGGAAUUACUGGGCGUAAAGCGCACGCAGGCGGUUUGUUAAGUCAGAUGUGAAAUCCCCGGGCUCAACCUGGGAACUGCAUCUGAUACUGGCAAGCUUGAGUCUCGUAGAGGGGGGUAGAAUUCCAGGUGUAGCGGUGAAAUGCGUAGAGAUCUGGAGGAAUACCGGUGGCGAAGGCGGCCCCCUGGACGAAGACUGACGCUCAGGUGCGAAAGCGUGGGGAGCAAACAGGAUUAGAUACCCUGGUAGUCCACGCCGUAAACGAUGUCGACUUGGAGGUUGUGCCCUUGAGGCGUGGCUUCCGGAGCUAACGCGUUAAGUCGACCGCCUGGGGAGUACGGCCGCAAGGUUAAAACUCAAAUGAAUUGACGGGGGCCCGCACAAGCGGUGGAGCAUGUGGUUUAAUUCGAUGCAACGCGAAGAACCUUACCUGGUCUUGACAUCCACGGAAGUUUUCAGAGAUGAGAAUGUGCCUUCGGGAACCGUGAGACAGGUGCUGCAUGGCUGUCGUCAGCUCGUGUUGUGAAAUGUUGGGUUAAGUCCCGCAACGAGCGCAACCCUUAUCCUUUGUUGCCAGCGGUCCGGCCGGGAACUCAAAGGAGACUGCCAGUGAUAAACUGGAGGAAGGUGGGGAUGACGUCAAGUCAUCAUGGCCCUUACGACCAGGGCUACACACGUGCUACAAUGGCGCAUACAAAGAGAAGCGACCUCGCGAGAGCAAGCGGACCUCAUAAAGUGCGUCGUAGUCCGGAUUGGAGUCUGCAACUCGACUCCAUGAAGUCGGAAUCGCUAGUAAUCGUGGAUCAGAAUGCCACGGUGAAUACGUUCCCGGGCCUUGUACACACCGCCCGUCACACCAUGGGAGUGGGUUGCAAAAGAAGUAGGUAGCUUAACCUUCGGGAGGGCGCUUACCACUUUGUGAUUCAUGACUGGGGUGAAGUCGUAACAAGGUAACCGUAGGGGAACCUGCGGUUG